rnacentral:rRNA from 1 species
AGAGUGCGUAAUAGCUCACUGGUCGAGUAAACCUGCGCCGAAAAUGUACGGGACUAAGUAAUUUGCCGAAGCUAUGGGAUAAUGUUAAAUUAUCGGUAGGGGAGCGUUCUGUGUGUAGGUUGAAGCGUUAGCGAAAGCGGGCGUGGACAAAGCAGAAGUGAGAAUGUCGGCUUGAGUAGCGAAAACAUUGGUGGGAAUCCAAUGCCCCGAAAAUCUAAGGUUUCCUCCGGAAGGCUCGUCCGCGGAGGGUUAGUCAGGACCUAAGGCGAGGCCGAUUUGGCGUAGUC